rnacentral:lncRNA from 1 species
GCUCAGCCACCGCCUUUUCCUUCGCCUCUUCCGUUGAGAACCACCUCCUCCAACAUCCCUACCACCCUUCUCAACAGGUACGAGCUCGGCAAAUUACUGGGCCGCGGCAGCUUCGCUAAGGUUUACGCUGCCCGUUCUCUGAUGGACAACAAGCCCGUUGCUAUAAAGAUUAUUGACAAAACACGCACGGUGGACGCUGCCAUGGAGCCCCGUAUAAUAUGCGAGAUCUCUGCCAUGCGCCGCCUCCAGCACCAUCCGAAUAUUCUUAAAAUCCAUGAAGUGAUGGCCACCAAGACCAAAAUCUACAUAGUCGUGGAGCUUGCCAUGGGUGGCGAGCUCUUCUCCAAGGUUCUCCAGCGUGGUAAACUCAAGGAAUCUAGGGCCCGCCGGUACUUUCAACAGCUCGUGUCUGCUCUCCACUUCUGCCACCAGAACGGCGUCGCUCACCGCGAUGUCAAGCCUCAGAAUCUCCUCCUUGACGAGAAUGGUAAUCUAAAAGUAUCAGAUUUCGGUCUCUCGGCCUUGGCCGAGGCGCAAAAUGGCGUUGUCCUUCAGACGGCUUGUGGGACCCCAGCUUUCACCGCGCCGGAGGUGAUAGCACGGCAGGGCUAUGAUGGUGCGAAAGUGGACGCGUGGUCUUGCGGUGUCAUUCUCUUCUUUUUAC